rnacentral:tRNA from 1 species
UCCCCGGUGGCUCAGAUGGUAAAGCGUCUGCCUGCAAUGCAGGAGACCCAGGUUCGAUCCCUGGGUGGGGAA